UACGUAGGGUGCAAGCGUUAAUCGGAAUUACUGGGCGUAAAGCGUGCGCAGGCGGUUGUGUAAGACAGAUGUGAAAUCCCCGGGCUCAACCUGGGAACUGCAUUUGUGACUGCACGGCUCGAGUGCGGCAGAGGGGGAUGGAAUUCCGCGUGUAGCAGUGAAAUGCGUAGAUAUGCGGAGGAACACCGAUGGCGAAGGCAAUCCCCUGGACCUGUACUGACGCUCAUGCACGAAAGCGUGGGGAGCAAACAGG
rnacentral:rRNA from 1 species